rnacentral:tRNA from 1 species
GGAUUGGUGACUGAGAGGCUUAAGGUGUCAGUUUGCUAAGUUGAUAUAUCUCAAUUGGUAUCGCGGGUUCGAAUCCCGCCCAAUCCG